rnacentral:misc_RNA from 1 species
GAAAUGCGAUAAGUAAUGCGAAUUGCAGAAUUCAGUGAGUCAUCGAAUCUUUGAACGCACAUUGCGCCCCGUGGCAUUCCGCGGGGCAUGCCUGUUCGAGCGUCAUUUCAACCCUCAAGCUCCGCUUGGUGUUGGGCCCUGCCCGUCGCGGCCGGCCCUAAAGUCAGUGGCGGCGCCGUCGGCUCCAAGCGUAGUAAUGCUCUCGCUCUGGGGUCCGGCGGCCGCUGGCCAGAACCCACACAACCUACGGUUGACCUCGGAUCAGGUAGGGAUACCCGCUGAACUUAA